rnacentral:rRNA from 1 species
CAUCACCGUACCAAGCAAUUCUAUAUCCAUAUAGAAAUUUUUAUGUUAAAACUAGUAACAAGAAGACCACCCUUCUCUUUAAUGCAAGCAUAAAUCAGACAGGAUCAGCCGCUGAUAAUUAACACCCCUGACCUUAUAGUUGCAACACCACAAGAAAAUUCCACUAAACCAAGUGUUAACCUAACACAAGAGCAUUACAAGAAAGAUUAAAAGAAAAAGAAGGAACUCGGCAAAUAUUAACCCCGCCUGUUUACCAAAAACAUCGCCUCUUGAUCUAAGUAUAAGAGUCCAGCCUGCCCAGUGACUCUGUUCAACGGCCGCGGUAUCCUAACCGUGCGAAGGUAGCGUAAUCACUUGUUCUUUAAAUGAGGACUAGUAUGAAUGGCACCACGAAGGUUAUACUGUCUCCUUUUUCUAAUCAGUGAAACUGAUCUUCCCGUGAAGAAGCGGGAAUAUAAAUAUAAGACGAGAAGACCCUAUGGAGCUUUAAACUAAUUUAUCAAUUGCUUUUAGACUCUUUUAAUUCCAGAAAAUCAACCCCUAUAUUCAAGCAUUUUGACUAUAAGUUUUAGGUUGGGGUGACCACGGAGUAAAAACCAACCUCCGUAAUGAACGGGGCUCUCCCCCUAAACCAAGGACUACAAUCCUAAGAAUCAACAAAUUGACAUCAAUUGACCCAAUAUACUUGACCAAUGAACCAAGUUACCCUAGGGAUAACAGCGCAAUCCACUUCAAGAGCUCCUAUCGACAAGUGGGUUUACGACCUCGAUGUUGGAUCAGGGUAUCCUAGUGGUGCAGCCGCUACUAAUGGUUCGUUUGUUCA